rnacentral:rRNA from 1 species
UACGUAGGAGGCAAGCGUUGUCCGGAGUUACUGGGCGUAAAGCGCACGCAGGCGGUCGCAUCAGUCUGGGGUGACAGUUCCCGGCUUAACCGGAAAAGGACUCUGGAAACUGUGCGACUUGAGGGCUUCAGAGGGACGUGGAACUCCGGGAGUAGCGGUGAAAUGCGUAGAGACCCGGAGGAACACCAGUGGCGAAGGCGGCGUCCUGGCCGUGCGACUGACGCUGUGGCGCGAAAGCUAGGGGAGCGAACGGG